ACAAAUCAAUACAUUUAAUGUAAUGGACAGAAGAUAUCAUGGGGCUGCAGUGUACAUAACAGAAAUGAAACAUGGUGUAUGAAGUACCUCAUGCACAUAGCAGAAAUAGUUACAAUACAAGAGAUUGCAAACAGAAGAAAACAAAAUGUGGUGUUCAGUAGAGGGUAUUAACUGUCACAAAAAAGUUGGGAAUAGAAUUACAGUUAACAGCUAGUAUUUCAUUAGUUCAUCAAGCAAACGUGUCAGUUUACAAAGGGGUGUUGGAAGAAAACUGCAGUAACACAGUUCAUGGAAACAUCAAGAACUAAAAGAACACCUUCAAGUAUUUAACUUUGAAAGUUAUGAAGCAGUGGAAGCAGAACUGAGGUUGUGGAUCCAUCAACAAAGUCAACCUACAGUGACGGUAUCAUGAAACUGAUCUCUCAUUGGGAGAAAUGUGUUUGG